rnacentral:rRNA from 1 species
AACGAACGCUGGCGGCAGGCUUAACACAUGCAAGUCGAGCGCCCCGCAAGGGGAGCGGCAGACGGGUGAGUAACGCGUGGGAAUCUACCCAUCUCUACGGAAUAACGCAUGGAAACGUGUGCUAAUACCGUAUACGUCCUUCGGGAGAAAGAUUUAUCGGAGAUGGAUGAGCCCGCGUUGGAUUAGCUAGUUGGUGGGGUAAAGGCCUACCAAGGCGACGAUCCAUAGCUGGUCUGAGAGGAUGAUCAACCACACUGGGACUGAGACACGGCCCAGACUCCUACGGGAGGCGGCAGUGGGGAAUAUUGGACAAUGGGCGCAAGCCUGAUCCAGCCAUGCCGCGUGAGUGAUGAAGGCCCUAGGGUUGUAAAGCUCUUUCACCGGUGAAGAUAAUGACGGUAACCGGAGAAGAAGCCCCGGCUAACUUCGUGCCAGCCGCCGCCGUAAAAC